rnacentral:lncRNA from 1 species
UUCCAUUAUUCUCAGCAGUUCUGCAAUGAGAAAGCUGAAAGACGGGAAGACAUCGGUGGCAGGAGUGUGGAGGAGGUGACGGUGGAAGUAAAAGCAGGAGGCAGAAAGAGCAAUCAGCAUCCAGCUAUGGUUCAGGGCCAGGGAAGCUGGGCUGGAGGAAGCUGUCUGGGAACCCAGGAGGCAAGCAGAAAACCGCCAGGACCGCCCCACGCUGGGGGAGCAGCAGGCACGGCCCCUACCAACACCCCCUGGCACCUCGCAAAGCUAGAGCCCGCCCGGUCCCCUCCCCGGAGCGCCCUGGUCUUUGGUUGGUAUUCAGCACAUCUUCAGAAACAGUGAUAGAAAAAUGCUGGUUUCUGACUCCAACAGAGAUGCCAGCUCACGGAGGAAAAUCUGGAAGGUGUUGAAGCAUAGACGCUGGAACAUAAAAUGACUCAUGAUCUCACUGGGAGAAGGGCUGGGAACAUCGUGGGCUCUCUUCUCCCCGCGCUCCUCUCUCCGGGUCUCUGUUUCCCUCAUUCCACGAUGUUAGUGAG